rnacentral:rRNA from 1 species
AUUGAACGCUGGCGGCAUGCCUUACACAUGCAAGUCGAACGGCAGCACGGGAGCAAUCCUGGUGGCGAGUGGCGAACGGGUGAGUAAUAUAUCGGAACGUGCCCAGUCGUGGGGAUAACGUAGCGAAAGCUACGCUAAUACCGCAUACGAUCUAAGGAUGAAAGCGGGGGAUCGCAAGACCUCGCGCGAUUGGAGCGGCCGAUAUCAGAUUAGGUAGUUGGUGAGGUAAAGGCUCACCAAGCCAACGAUCUGUAGCUGGUCUGAGAGGACGACCAGCCACACUGGGACUGAGACAGGCCCAGACUCCUACGGGAGGCAGCAGUGGGGAAUAUUGGACAAAUGGGCGCAAGCCUGAUCCAGCAAUGCCGCGUGCAGGAUGAAGG